UAGACCUAUGGCCCGAUUAUCCAUGUUUGUAUGUCGUUGAUUCAGCAGAUUUCAAAAACCAGGAUAAACGCUUCCUUGCUGCGUCAGAAAUCGCAGAGAAACUCAACAAAACAGCUCAGUGGGUCUUUUCAAAGAUAAAAGCUCUUCGCAACAGCUACACAAAAAUAAAGAAACUGGGACCCAGUGGAAGUUCAAAGAAAAGUUUAAGUAAAAGAGCAACCUGGAUGAAAGAGAGACUACAGUUUUUGGAUCCACACAUACAGACAAGAACAUCAAUCUCAAAUUUAAACAAGAAUUCAACGGUCUCAUCUGAAGUAACAAAUGAUGACAAUGAUGAUGAAGAUAAUGACACAGAAAGUCUCCCAAGAUAACCCAUCAACUCCAUCAACACUUGAUGGAACUGAUCAAGAUGUAACCCCUGGAAGAAAAUCAACAAAGGAGCCCUUGAAGGCAAAAACAAAGUCAUCUGCUAAAAGACAGGCUGAGGACGAGUAUCAUUUGAUUAAAGAGUUAACUCAAACAUUAUCAGAUCGAAAGAAGAAAAGGGAAGAAAAUGCCCACCAGAAAAUUGACCCAUUUGCUUGUUAUGUGUCAGAGGCCCUAUCACAACUAGAUCCAAAAAUGAAGCAUUUAGCUGUACAUCACAUUAACACUGUCAUCUUUCAGGCUCAGAUGGGAACUCUUGGCCAGUUACAAUCACAGCCACAAAGUCAAGUGCAUUCUCUGCAGUAUAAUCAGCAGUCUAAUUGGUUUCCACCAGACUGUUUAUUUUCGGCACCACCCGAAUACAAUAGAUGGUAUCAACCAAACCAGCAACAACAUCAUAAUCCUGCCUCUACAAUCCCAAAUCAAACAUGGUGUCCACCAUCGCAACAAUUUUUGAAUCCUGGCACUGACACCAAUGUCAAUCAGAGUAUUUGGCAACAGGAAAAUAAACUGCAAAACAAUGCAAAUUCCCAGUGUUCUGUGGGCCAAAAUCAAUGGUCAUAGCUUGAUAACCGACAGUCAGAACAAAACAACCAUGACAGUGAACCAAAGUAAAAGAUUCAAAACUUCUUCCAUUUAAAAUGUUAAAACAAUCAGUAUUAGAACUUACAGCUUAAAGUCACUUACAUUGUAAUAGUAGAGGAUUUGUUAAAGGUUCUAUUGUAUUUCCCAGUAUUACUUUUUUUCAAUUUCACUUUUUUAUAAUAAAACUGUUUGCUCAAGCUUACCUUUAAGUGCUGUUCUUUCAGAAUAUUGUACAAUGCCUGCCUGACAUGUUUCAGAUACAAUUCCAGAAACCGUUCUCUCCCCCAUCCGAUACUGGAACGACAGACUCUUAAACGAUUCUCCUAAAGGAAUACAAACGGAAAUGUUAUUCGUACAUCAGAAUAUUUAAAGAUAUCCAGGACAAGCUUUACUUGUAUCUAACAUUUCACUGAGAAAUGUAUGCCUAGGCUCUGUGUUGGGGAGUAUUUGGAAUACAUGUAUUUAGAAUACAUAUUCAGAAUAUUAAUUUUGAGUAACUAUAUUUAGGUUCUUUUUCAUUUGAGGGUAUUAAGAAUACAGUUACUUUCCAAAAAUCGUAGGAAUAC